rnacentral:lncRNA from 1 species
GGGCUGGCAGGAGGGGGAAUUUAAACACCCUCCUCAGGCGCAUAUUUUUCCCAGUAAUGUCGGAGAUCAUGCCGAAGUGGGCUUCGAUGAGGAGGACCUUUGCAGCAAGUUCAUGGGCCUCACGCGAAAAUGCAUUUGUUGGCCUUUGCGCGAUCCGUUAAAUUCCUCUAAUCGAGAUAUGCGUAUAUAUGUGUGCCUGGUUGCAGUGUGUGCUAGCCAUCCCCUGCCCCUCAUGAGCUGGGGAUACAAGCCCGAGCUACCGG